UAAAGGGGUGGCAAAUCAAUGGGGUCAUGAGAUAAGGAAACUCUUUUAACCUUGUUAUCUAUGUUGAGUAGAGCAAAAGCUAAGACAAAAUUCUGUGUGUGUGUGCAAGAAAAAAUGUGUGCCAAGAAAAAAAAAAUGUGUGGUGUAUGUCAUGGGGCAAAAAGAUGCAAAAAGAAACAAAAAGACACAAGUAGAAAGCAAAAGAUGAUGGAAUCAAUGUAAGUCAAUGCAAAAAAUAACCUAGUAAUACCCCCACACCUAUGACAAACAUUGUCCUCAAUGUGUAAGCAUAUAUAAAAAAAAAUUAAGGAAAGAAAGGGAAAGGGACUUCCUGACCUGU
rnacentral:lncRNA from 1 species